CUUUAGCUCAGUCGGUUAGAGCAUCUGACUGUUAAUCAGGGGGUCCUUGGUUCAAGUCCAA
rnacentral:tRNA from 1 species